AUAUUAUUAAGUGGAGGAAAAGAAACCAAAAGGGAUUCCCCCAGUAGCGGCGAGCGAAAAGGGACCGGCCCAAAGCCAAAUCCCGUGUCCUCUGGGCAUCGGGAAAUGUGGCGUAUGGGAGGCGGAUCUUUCCGAACGUUGAAGGCGACUCAAGUCCCCAUGAAUGGGGCUACGACCGAAGCGGGUGUGAGUCCCGUUCAGUCGCUCUUCUCGCGCGGAGUUUCCGUUUUCCCGGGAGUCGGGUUGCUUGAAAGUGCAGCCCAAAGUGGGUGGUAUGCUCCACCUAAGGCUAAAUAUCCCCGAGAAACCGAUAGCAAAAAAGUACCGUGAGGGAAAGUUGAAAAGAACUUUGAAGAGAGAGUUCAAUAGUACGUGAAACCGCUUAGAGGUAAACGGGUGGGCCCUCGAAGUCUGAAGGCGGAGAGAUUCAGUACGGGCGCUAUCGAAAGCGGCUGUCUUUUUGAAGCGUACGCCAACGAGUAGGCGUCGCUUUAGGGAGUUAAGCUCGCGCGCCCGUGCGCAAUUCUGUUCCGCCGGUAAGAGGCCGCGACUGGUUGGUCGACUGUUGGAAGGACAGCCWUUGGGUCAGGUAGCCGACCGCGCUUCGGCGCGGUAGGUGUUAUAGCCCUAGGUGAAUAUCCGACUGUCGCGCCGACUUAGGACGAGAGAAACCUCGAGUAGCGUUCCCUUAUCGCGGGGCGCGCCKARCGAUCGGUCCGCGUCUUGGAAUCACACGUGUUGUGUUCCGUAGGCGCUUCUGGUCGCGAGGCGUCGCGUCCGUCAUGGGAGCCGGAGGUCGGCGGUCAGUAGAUCGGGUCCCACCCGACCCGUCUGA
rnacentral:rRNA from 1 species